rnacentral:rRNA from 1 species
UACGGAGGAUCCAAGCGUUAUCCGGAAUUACUGGGCGUAAAGAGUUGCGUAGGUGGCAUAGUAAGCGGGUAGUGAAAGCGUGUGGCUCAACCAUACUCACAUUAUCCGAACUGCUAAGCUAGAGGGCGAGAGAGGUUACUGGAAUUCUCAGUGUAGGAGUGAAAUCCGCAGAUAUUGGGAGGAACACCGAUGGCGUAGGCAGGUAACUGGCUCGUCCCUGACACUAAGGCACGAAAGCGUGGGGAGCAAACGGG